GUAGGUGGCAAGCGUUGUCCGGAAUUAUUGGGCGUAAAGGGCUCGCAGGCGGUUUCUUAAGUCUGAUGUGAAAGACCCCCGGGCUCAACCGGGGAGGGUCAUUGGAAACUGGGGAACUUGAGUGCAGAAGAGGAGAGUGGAAUUCCACGUGUAGCGGUGAAAUGCGUAGAGAUGUGGAGGAACACCAGUGGCGAAGGCGACUCUCUGGUCUGUAACUGACGCUGAGGAGCGAAAGCGUGGGGAGCGAACAGGAUUAGAUACCCUGGUAGUCCACGCCGUAAACGAUGAGUGCUAAGUGUUAGGGGGUUUCCGCCCCUUAGUGCUGCAGCUAACGCAUUAAGCACUCCGCCUGGGGAGUACGGUCGCAAGACUG
rnacentral:rRNA from 1 species